rnacentral:pre_miRNA from 1 species
CACUUUCUGAAUUCGUGUUGAGAUUUCGUCAGACACCAACCCAUUAGGGCUGAUCACACUUCCAAGAUAAGUGAAGUC